CAGCUUAGUUUCCGAUGUGUGGGAGCAUUAUAAACGCGGGAUGGUGGAGGAACUCUUCGAUCCAAAUCUCAUGUUGCAUAACUAUCAUACUAUCAAUGUAAGAAAUGAGGUUGCGAGAGUGUUACAUGUGGGACUUUUGUGCACUCAAGAGAUCCCAACGUUACGUCCAUCCAUGUCUAAGGCAUUACAAAUGUUCAUCAAGAAAGAUGAAGAGUUG
rnacentral:misc_RNA from 1 species